UACAGAGGGUGCGAGCGUUGUCCGGAAUCACUGGGCGUAAAGGGCGCGUAGGCGGUUCGCUAAGUUGAAUGUGAAAACUCUGGGCUUAACCCAGAGCCUGCAUUCAAUACUGGCGGGCUAGAGUUCUGGAGGGGAUAGCGGAAUUCCUGGUGUAGCGGUGAAAUGCGUAGAUAUCAGGAGGAACACCGGUGGCGAAGGCGGCUAUCUGGACAGAGUCUGACGCUGAUGCGCGAAAGCUAGGGGAGCAAACAGG
rnacentral:rRNA from 1 species